AUUGAACGCUGGCGGCAUGCUUUACACAUGCAAGUCGAACGGCAGCGGGGAGGAGCUUGCUUCUCUGCCGGCGAGUGGCGAACGGGUGAGUAAUACAUCGGAACGUUUCGAGAAGAGGGGGAUAACCACCCGAAAGGGUGGCUAAUACCGCAUAAAUUCUGAGGAAGAAAGCUGGGGACCUAUGAAUAGGCCUAGCGCUUUUUGAGCGGCCGAUGUCGGAUUAGCUAGUUGGUGAGGUAAAGGCUCACCAAGGCGAAGAUCUGUAGCGGGUCUGAGAGGAUGAUCCGCCACACUGGGACUGAGACACGGCCCAGACUCCUACGGGAGGCAGCAGUGGGGAAUUUUGGACAAUGGGGGCAACCCUGAUCCAGCCAUGCCGCGUGUAUGAAGAAGGCCUUAGGGUUGUAAAGUACUUUUGUUAGGGAAGAAAAGUCAGCUGUGAAUAAUGGCUGAUACUGACGGUACCUAAAGAAUAAGCACCGGCUAACUACGUG
rnacentral:rRNA from 1 species